UACGUAGGGGGCUAGCGUUGUCCGGAAUCAUUGGGCGUAAAGAGCGUGUAGGCGGUCCGGUAAGUCCGCUGUGAAAGUCGGGGGCUCAACCCUCGAAUGCCGGUGGAUACUGUCGGGCUAGAGUGCGGAAGAGGCGAGUGGAAUUCCGUGGUGUAGCGGUGAAAUGCGCAGAUAUCAGGAGGAACACCUAUUGCGAAGGCAGCUCGCUGGGACGUAACUGACGCUGAGGCGCGAAAGCGUGGGGAGCAAACAGG
rnacentral:rRNA from 1 species